UACGGGGGGGGCAAGCGUUGUUCGGAAUUACUGGGCGUAAAGGGCUCGUAGGCGGCCAACUAAGUCAGACGUGAAAUCCCUCGGCUUAACCGGGGAACUGCGUCUGAUACUGGAUCGCUUGAGGGUCGGAGAGGGGCGUGGAAUUCCGGGUGGAGCGGUGAAAUGCGUAGAGAUCCGGAGGAACACCGACGGCGUAGGCAGCGCCCUGGACGACACCUGACGCUGGAGGCACGAAAGCUGGGGGGAGCGAACAGG
rnacentral:rRNA from 1 species